GACGAACGCUGGCGGCGUGCUUAACACAUGCAAGUCGAACGGAAAGGCCCUGCUUUUGUGGGGUGCUCGAGUGGCGAACGGGUGAGUAACACGUGAGUAACCUGCCCUUGACUUUGGGAUAACUUCAGGAAACUGGGGCUAAUACCGGAUAGGAGCUCCUGCUGCAUGGUGGGGGUUGGAAAGUUUCGGCGGUUGGGGAUGGACUCGCGGCUUAUCAGCUUGUUGGUGGGGUAGUGGCUUACCAAGGCUUUGACGGGUAGCCGGCCUGAGAGGGUGACCGGCCACAUUGGGACUGAGAUACGGCCCAGACUCCUACGGGGGGCAGGGGGGGGGAAUAUUGCACAAUGGGCGGAAGCCUGAUGCAGCAACGCCGCGGGGGGGAUGACGGCCUUCGGGUUGUAAACCGCUUUCGCCUGUGACGAAGGGUGGGUGACGGUAAUGGGUAAAGAAGCACCGGCUAACUACGU
rnacentral:rRNA from 1 species